CUAAAUCAGUAGUGAUUUCGAUCUCUUAAGGUAGGUCGAUGUCUACGCAUAUAGGGCGUAUAGCAGCUUUGAUCUUAUCUCAGUAAUGUCAUCCAUUUUCAAUGGGUUCCCUAUGCCUCUUGCUAUUGCAAAGAGAAUUUCCGGCCUCCACAGCUCCGAAAGAAGAGGAAAUCGAACCGAUUUUAUUGCAGGAUCAUCCAGGUCUGGUUUGAAGCUCUGAUACCACCUUGACAGAUUGAUUGAGAAAGGCUCAAUCUUCCAAGAGGAACCAGAAAGAACAAGAGAGAGAGAGACCUUGCUCGGAUUUGAAACGGAAAAAAAGAUAGUGACUAUUGAGCAGGGCUACUGAGUGCUCCACCUUCCUGUAGAGCUUGGCAUUGGCCUUCAUCCAUUCUACUUAAGGUAGUUUUAUAAUGAACCUUCCUACUCAACAAAACUUCAAGUCUGCCAAGCUUUCCUGAUAUGGGGAUGAAGGGAUCCGAAUGUGCACCUCCUAAGGAUCCUUGAAUGGGACAGGGAACGAAUGCUGAGUAGAGGGAAAGGAGUAAGGAAUGAGAUGCGAUCCUAAUGCUUGCUUGGGCAAAGGAUUUGGCAGCUCCUGGCGUGGAGGGGGGAGGAUUGAGGUUUGAGAAUCCCAGGUCGGCUAGGCAGUAACUGCGGACCCUGUCGAUCUUUAUUAUGCUGGAAAGGUUGAUACGAUUGAUUCGCUUGCCUCGAAGACUGGCAUUAGGCCCCUACUGAGGAUAGGAUUGAUUCGAAGCAAAGGGAAAUGCUUCUCCGCUACGGGAGAUGCUAGAAGAAAAGAAGAGAAGCCCCCGGGGGAUAUUACACAGGCUAGCAGACAACCGGAAAGCUAUUCCCUUGCAACAAUGGUAGGGUUUUGAAUGCUUACGGAAUUGAAAGCUAGGACGAAAGGGCCAGCAUCAGACAUAGGGACUACGGGAUAUACGUAAUAGCCGGGCUAAGAGAUUCUAAAAACUAGUAAAGAAAAGGCAAUAGCCCCUUCCACGACUAAGAAAGUUGGCAAUGGGGAUAGACCUUUUCGCUUUUUCAGAAUACGGGAGAGUAAGCAAGGGUAGUAAUGGGCGGAAGAAGUAAGCUGGCUGGCGGGAUAAAAGGUUCAAGAUCCAUCCUGUGAGAAAGCCAAUUACUUUUUUUGUGGAUUUAGUCACCUUGGAUGUAUUUCCCUCUAUAACGGACAUGCUUGCCCUGCGAUCUAUUUUCUUGGGAAUCUUGGUAUCCGCUUUCAAGCUAGUGACCUGAGCUAGCCUUUACUUCGAGGCCAGUCCUAUUGAGAUUCC
rnacentral:lncRNA from 1 species